rnacentral:rRNA from 1 species
AGCAGCCGCGGUAAUUCCAGCUCCAAUAGCGUAUAUUAAAGUUGCUGCAGUUAAAAAGCUCGUAGUUGAAUUUCGGGAUCAAUAUGUUGGUCGUGCCUCGGUACGUACUAGCUUAUUGGUUUCUCCCUUCUGACGAACCAUGAUGUCAUUUAUUUGGUGUUAUGGGAAAUCAGGACUGUUACUUUGAAAAAAUUAGAGUGUUUAAAGCAGGCUCACGCUUGAAUACAUUAGCAUGGAAUAAUGAAAUAGGACGUUUGAUUCUAUUUUGUUGGUUUCUAGGAUCGACGUAAUGAUUAAUAGGGAUAGUUGGGGGCAUUAGUAUUCAAUUGUCAGAGGUGAAAUUCUUGGAUUUAUUGAAGACUAACUACUGCGAAAGCAUUUGCCAAGGAUGUUUUCAUUAAUCAAGAACGAAAGUUAGGGGAUCGAAGACGAUCAGAUACCGUCGUAGUCUUAACCAUAAACUAUGCCGACUAGGGAUCGGAUGAUGUUAAUUUUUAAUGACUCACUCGCG